UAAGAAUUGAAAAAAUGAAAUUUUCUCUUUGGAUCGUUUUAAUCAUUAUGGCAGGUAUAGGAAGAUGGCCUAAACGGAAAGUUUCCCCCAAAAGCGUAGAGGCAGAGGAUUGAAUGCAUUAACUCAAUUUUCUCAAAUUUUUAUACAUUUCUCCGCAUUAUUUUAAAUUUUGUACGGAUUGUAUAACAUAUUAGCCAUGCUUAAUUUAAUUGUUUCGCUUAUUGAAAGGUAUAUAAGCCAAGUGUUUUAAAUUGAAAUUAAAGAAUAAAAAAAAAUGAAAGCAACUGUUUUAAUUACAUUGGUCCUAUUGGCUGCUCAAGGGGCUUACGCAAGGUGUUAUGGUUGGUGCUUCAAAAGUAAAUAAAGUUCUCCUUUCUAGUAGGAGAUGUAAUCCUACCAAUGGCACUAGAAGAACAUGGGUAGAUUUUAAAAUGUAGUUUAUAUAAUUUUUCUUAAUUUUGGAAUAUAAAAAUAUAGCGCAUAUAAACUUAGUUGAUGUGCUUACGUUCAUAAA